rnacentral:lncRNA from 1 species
GUUUAAUUUAAUAGGUGAAAUGACCCUAAUACCCUAGAUAUAUAAAAAAUAAAAAUAAAUGAUUUUUUUUUAUAGUUUUAGAUUAUAUGUUUUUUAAUUGUGAACUUUUUUAUAAAUUUUUUUUUUAUAAAUAUUUUUUUUUGAAUAUUUUUUUCGAAUUUUUUAUUUAUUUAUUUUUCAAAAUUUAUUUUUGUAAUUCAAAAAUACUUUUUGAAACUAUUUUUAAAAUUUUUAUAUUUAAAUUUUUAAUUUUAAUUUUUUAUUUUAUAAAAUUUUAAACCCCAAUCUCAA